GAUCAUCAAAAACUUACCUGGUUGAAACAAUAGACGACGCCCCUGGACAAGAUUUUACAGAUGUAGCCAAGCCAUCAGCCAACCCAGCAGCCAAUCCAGGAGCCAAGGGAGUAGGAGUUGACUAUGCUGGAAAUCCUGGCUUCAUGCGAUUUGGAAAAUAGUUUUUAUUUUUACUAAAAUGUAGUGCUUAUUCAGUUACAAAUAUAAAUUCAAACUGAUUUUUAA